rnacentral:rRNA from 1 species
AGCUCUGUAAGCGUAUACCAAAGUUGUUGCAGUUAAAACGCUCGUAGUCGGAUUUUGGCGUUGGUGCUUCCGAGACCCCUGCAUGGGCGUCGAGGGUGAGUCCCGCCUUUGUGGAUGGGGGCGUGGUGGCUCUUUGUUGGGUCGCUGCGCGUCCGCCACUGUUUACUGUGAAAAAAUUAGAGUGUUCAAAGCGAGCGAUUUGCCAUGAAUACAUUAGCAUGGAAUAAUAGAAUAGGACCUGGUCCUGUUUUGUUGGUUUGUCGGUAUCAGGUAAUGAUUAAGAGGGACGGUCGGGGGCAUUUGUAUUCCAGGGUUAGAGGUGAAAUUCUUGGAUCCUUGGAAGACAAACAGCUGCGAAAGCGUCUGCCAAGGACGUUUUCA